rnacentral:lncRNA from 1 species
GAUUGCUAAAGUCCUAUUGCAUGCUUUAAGAUGCCUUGCGUUUGGUGAAUUGAAGCCUGAUAUGUCAACAUACUCUCUGUAAACACAGCAGCACAGAGGGCAAAGAAACACUUAUCCAGCACCACAGCUAGGACAAAAGGAAUUAUUUUGACAGUAAAUGGACUUGCAGCUUAAGGUUGGUAUGUACCCAAUUGUGACUAAACCAAAAGAAACAAAUCUGGAAACUGAAGUAUCAAUACGUGAAAAGCGUUCUUUUGGUAUUGGGAGUGCCAGUUGUCUUUGUUUCAUGAACUACUUCUCCGUAAUAGCAUGCAGCCAUCUUCAAGAGGUAAAACAGCAUCCCCAGGAUAAACAGGAAUACUACACUCUUCCUUAAAUAACAAAAACUGCGGCUGGGCGUGGUGGCUCACACUUGUAAUCCCAGCACUUUGGGAGGCCGAGGUGGGCGGAUCACGAGGUCAGGAGAUGGAGACCAUCUUGGCUAACACGGUGAAACCCCGUCUCUACUAAAAAUACAAAAAAUUACACAGGCGCGGUGGCGGGCGCCUAUAGUCCCAGCUACCCGGGAGGCUGAGGCGGGAGAAUGGCGCGAACCUGGGAGGCGGAGCUUGCAGUGAGCCAAGAUCGCGCCACUGCACUCCAGCCUGGGCGACAGAGCAAAACUUCGUCUCAAAAAAAAAAAAAAAAAAAAAACUGGAAAAUUUGUUCUAAACAGCUUCAUGGGAAGAGAUAAUGAGCUAUGCAGCUCAACAUAAUUCAACAAAUAUUUGUUGAGUAUCUAUACUAGAACCUGUUCCAGAUGUUUGAAAUACUUCAGUGAACAUACCAUUUUUUAUAGAAAAAAGACCACUUUCUUUACCUUUGUGGAGCUUGCAUUCUAUCAGUGGGAGACAUACACUCCACCAUUGUUACACUAAGUAAGUAUAAUAUUUAGCCAAUUCUUAUAAAUUGUAUGUUACCUCAGCAUCCAUUUUGAAAAUAGGUUUAACUUGCACAUACCAGAAGCUUGGCUUAGUGACCCUCAAAGGAGUUUUCACUUCCUCCAAAGUCCUAUAUGUGGUCGCCUCCGAUAUCUGCCGUAUACAACUGUCUCCUGGUGACCACCUCCCUGUGAGACAGCAGAUACAACCUACCCCUCUGGCCUUCUCACCUCUCGUGGACUGUGUAGAUGCUGCAGUGGCCCCUGCUCAGUUACAGUGUGACUAUUGGACUUGUUCCUGCUUGCUAUAAGCCCACUGUAUUAGUCCAUUCUCACGCUGCUAAUAAAAACGUACCUGAAACUGCCUAAUUUAUACAGAAAAGAGGUUUAAUUGACUCACAGUUUUGCAUGGCUGGGGAGGCCUCGGGAAACUUACAAUCAUGGCGGAAGGGGAAGCAAACACAUCCGUCUUUACAUGGUGGGAGGAGAGAGAAGAAUGAGAACUGAGUGAAGAAGGAGGCCCCUUAAAACCAUCAGAUCUCCUGAGAAUGAACUCACCAUCAGGGGAAUAGCAUGGGGGGGAAAGGCUGCCAUGAUUCAAUUACCUCUCACUGGGUCCCUCCCACUAUGUGUGAGGAUUAGGGGAACUACAAUUCAAGAUGAUAUUUGUAAGGCCGAGCAUGGUGGCUCACGGCUGUAACCCCAGCGCUUUGAAAGGCCAAGGCAGACGGAUCUUCUGAGGUCAGGAGUUCAAGACCAGCCUGGCCAACAUGGCAAAAACCCAUCUCUACUAAAAAUACAAAAAUUAGCCAGGUUUGUUGGUGGACGCUUGUAAUUCCAGCUACUUCGGCGGCUGAGGCAGGAGAAUCGCUUGAAUCCGGGAGGGAGAAGUUGCAGUGAGCCAAAUGGUGCCACUGUACUCCAGCCUGGGUGACAGAGCAAGACUCCAUCUGAAAAAAAAGAAAAAAAAGAAAAAAUGAUAUUUGGGUAGGGACAGUGACAAACUAUAUCACCCACCAAUUAAAACUUCCCUUGGAAACCUGCUUAGAUAAUGCCCUUAGCCCCCAAAAAAGGCUUCAACUCACAGGUCUUUCUGCCUUUCUUACUCUCUACCUGAUGGUUGAAUGUGUGUGCUAUAUGGCUUCCCAUUUCCUAUUGUCCCUGCAAGACUUGCCCUUUUUUCUCUGGAUCUGUAAGUAAUAAACUGCUUCUGUUAUUUCAUGUGUUUUCUUGAGUUGCCUCCUCUGUGGCUCACCUGAGCAACACACCAAAACCUAUCUUCUUUCCUAGUCAGAGUGCUCCUAGAGAGUGGCUAUGGUAGAAAUAAACUGGACACAAGUCAGACAAGAACCACGAAAAUGUCUGCCCAUAUAAAUGAGUUUCCUGUGAAAGGGACCAGUGAUCACAAAUUGGAUACUUAAAUAUUAGAAUGUAUACAGGGAUAAAGAAGCAUUCUGUGAAAGGCACAUUGUCAUAGGUACAACCAAAUACAAAUCCUCUGGAGCCCCAUCAGGGCAUGGCCAGAGUUGAUAGCUAAUCUCCUAAAAGAGAUCUUGAGACACACACAGGAAAAAAGCACUUUGGCAAAAUACAAUCAUAGCAAGAUUAUGUUAUGUAUAGGCAUUGGAAGUAUGGAUUAUGAUUUUAAAAGUGAGACUGUGGUAGGCCUCAGUAAGAAGAGCACAUGUGAGCUAGUGAGUAGAGGUAAAAGCAUUUGUUAUAAAGAUAUCUGGGGAGACAACCAGUACAAAUGCCGUAAAGUGAAAGUGUGGCUGGCAUGUUCCAGGAAUUUCAAGAAAUACUCCUCCCUCCGUGCCCUCUGUGAUAUGAAGGCCAUGAGUUAUCGGGAGAGCAGAAGAUGAGGUUAGAGAAGAAUUAGAGGCCCAACCACACAGAGGGACUUGUACCAAUGUAAGGAUAUUGUGUUGUUACUUUUAGUUACAUGGAAACCUAUAAGCAGGAUUUUGAGCAGAUAAGUGACAUGAUUUCACAUAUGAUUAAAGAAUCACUCCAGCUGCUCUGCUACAAAUAGACAGCAUGGGGGCAAAGAUAGAGCACAGAGACAGUGAGGAAGCCACUGCAGAAGUCUAGACUAGUAAUGAUAGAGGCUUGGGUUAGAAUGAUGAGUAGUGAGAUAUCAAUGAGAUAGUUAGAAGUAGUCAGAGUCUGUUUACAUUUUAAAGGCAGAGACAGAAAUGUUUCUGAGUGUCUGAUGUGAAGGAAAAAUAUACUUAAGUAUAACAUCACAUGCCAUUUGUGUCUGAAGGCAUGAAAAGCUGAAAUUGUCAUCAACUGAAUUGGAAAAGGUGGUAGGUGAAGUAGAUUUUGGGAGAGAUAGGAAGGAUUCAGUAUUAGAUAUGUGGAAUUUGAAAUGUCUAUAAGACACUCUAGUUGAGAAGUUGAGUAAGUAGUUUGAUUAAUCUGUAUUUUCAAGAGAGAGGUCCGUAUUGGAGAUGGUAUUUGGAAUUCAUUGGCACAUAAGCCAUUUGAUUGAAUGAGAUAACCAAUGAGAUAACCACUGCAGUGGAGAAGUAGAGGAGAGAUUUGAGGAUUGGCUCUUGGAAGUCAAUAUUAUUGUGUAAGAUAUAAAAGAAGAAAAAGAAAGAAGACAAGAGUUAGGAAAGCAAAGAAGAAGAGUAAUAUCCUGGAGGCAAAAUGAGAAAAGUGUAUCAAGAAGGAGAUAAAGGUGGGCUGCAUUAUAUGGUUCUGAUGGGCAGUGUAAAAUCAAAUAUUAGAUUUAGCAAGGUAGAGGUCAAUGAUUACACCAAGAGCACUUUUGCUAGAGUGGGGAUAACUGUAUGAUCAGUGUAGCUUCAUGAUAGGAUAUGUAAAGGAAAUUUGGGAAUAGUGUAUCUACACAACUCUUUCAGGGAGGUUUACUGAAAAGGGAAACAGAGAAGUAGAUUGGUACUUAGUAAAGGAAAUAGGAUCAGGUCAAGAUAAAUUACAUUUUUAAAUGAGAGAAAUUUCAGUUCAUUAUUAUGCUGAUGACAAUGACCUGAUGGGAUUGUUAAUUUUAUGUAUCAACUUGGUGAGUGUAUUGUCCACAGUUGCUUGGUCAAAUACCAGUCUAGAGGCUGUUGUUAAGGUAUGUUUUAGGCGUGGUUAAUAUUUAAAUCAGUAAAUUUGUAUUAAAGCAGAUUACCCUCCGUAAGUGGGGUGGACCUUCUCCAAUCAGCUGAAGGCCUUAAGAGAAAAAAUCACUGAGGUUCCACUAAGGGAAAAUAAUUCUGACUUUAGAUUGGCCUUCAGACUGAAGACUCCAGCAUCAACUCUCCCCUGAUCUCCAGCCUGCUGCUCUUCAGCAUUCACACUUGCCAGUCCCCACAAUGGUGGGAGCCAAUAUGGGGGAUACUGGCAUUCAGUUUAACACCCUGCUCUACAGUGAUUAAGGAGCAGUUAGAGGAUGUGGUAUAGAUACCAUACAUGCAUAGAUUUAGUGACUGGAAUCUGUAAGUUUGCUUUUGGUGGUGGAAGCCACAAUUUCAUCAGCUGCAACUUAGGAAUAGGAAGCAUGGAGGUUUGGAGAGAGGAAAGGACGGCUAAUAAUUAAGAUUUAAUGUGCUAAGGAUAUUUAGUAUGGUUGCUAAAAUGCAUUAAGUUUCCACUUGAAGUUCACGUCAAAAAUCUUCAGUGAAACCUGUCAAUCUGGUUGUGUAUUUUUCUCCAUUCAUGUCAAACCCCAUGGGUGCAGAUAAAAAACAGCUGGAGAGUUAGAUUUAAUCAGAGUGUGGUUUUGUCAUUCAAGUAAAAAGAAACAAGAGAGACCAUGGGAAUCAAGUGUGUGAUCAUGGAUUUCAACUGGGUAAAAAAGGGGGCAAAGACUUUAGAGGAUAAAGAACAGUGAAAUAACAGAAUUAAAGGAUUUAUGAUUCUUGGGGUCUGGGUUAGAUAGUGAACAGUAAAUACAGGAAACCAGAUAAUGUUAUGUCUUUUCACAAAGGGACCGUAUUUUUUAAAAACAGAGUGUUCUUUUAAACCAGUACUCCUCAUGAAAUAAUGAGAAAGAAAGUCUUAAAAAGAAAUUUCUACAAAAAAAAAUUCUAUAGUGAUACAAGGAUUGCCACCAUGUCCAAUUGUAGGCCCUAGAAAACUAGUCUGAACCAUAUAAAUACUAUUUUUUAUUUGUACUACAAUGUAAGUAAUUCUGGUCCAGGUGUCCCAAUCAUGUAGACGGGCCAGAGGCACUGGAUCACGGAAAUAUGUGCCCACAUGUUUAGAGCAAAUUGCUUUGUUACUUGGCAGGAAUCAAUAAGGAAAGCUGGAAUAUUCUUUUUUCUCACAGCUAUGUCAUUUCUAUAUUGCCUGACCUAAAGGAAAAGAAAAAAAAGGGCCAAUGUCUUCAUUACAAGAUAGACUCCUGAGAAUGCUUAUUCCAGCAAAGAAGAAGAUCUUCCUAAAAAACAAGAUUAUAAGUCACAGUCUGUAAGAAAAGAAAAAGUAAAACAAGAUAGACUCCUGAGAACACUAAUUCCAGCAAAGAAGAAGAAGAUCUUCCUAAAAAACAAGGAUUACUCAAAGUUAUUGAGAAGAAAUACAGGUUCUGGUGGACAAUUUCCAGUCUGGAGUCUGCAUUUGGAGAGAUUCUACAGCACAUGCAUGAAUGAGGAGGAGGUGGUGUCCCAAGGGCAUUUAUAUCUUUGCUCUGUAUUUGGAGGAGAAUGGAGAGUUCCAAAUGAUCAGAGCUUGCACAUUACUAGAUCCCCUUUCUAGGGAAAAUGCUGCGAUCAAUUGAAGUUGUCAUCCUCAUGAAGCUCAUACUGUUUUGCCUGAAAAAUAAAUGUAAAUGCACAUUCUUGGUCUUAAAAUACAUAGAAACAAUACUUUUUUCCCUGCUACUAGCUUUGUAAGAUAAAUAGGGUUCAUGUUUAACAUAUAUACUCAAUACUUGGGCAAUUUGUCUUCAUCUAAUGAAUUAUUAUUUACCAUUUUUAAAUUAUCUGCUCAGAUUACAAGAUUCUUUUUAACAAUAACCAAAUUUUAAUUAGUAAAACUUUUGGUCACUUUAUAUUUUCUGAUGUGCAUAUUACAAUAAAAU